AGCGGCGGACGGGUGAGUAAUGCCUGGGAAUAUGCCCUGAUGUGGGGGAUAACUAUUGGAAACGAUAGCUAAUACCGCAUAAUCUCUUCGGAGCAAAGAGGGGGACCUUCGGGCCUCUCGCGUCAGGAUUAGCCCAGGUGGGAUUAGCUUGUUGGUGAGGUAAUGGCUCACCAAGGCAACGAUCCCUAGCUGGUCUGAGAAGAUGAUCAGCCACACUGGAACUGAGACACGGUCCAGACUCCUACGGGAGGCAGCAGUGGGGAAUAUUGCACAAUGGGGGAAACCCUGAUGCAGCCAUGCCGCGUGUGUGAAGAAGGCCUUCGGGUUGUAAAGCACUUUCAGUAGGGAGGAAGGUAGUGUAGUUAACACCUGCACUAUUUGACGUUACCUACAGAAGAAGCACCGGCUAACUCCGUGCCAGCAGCCGCGGUAAUACGGAGGGUGCGAGCGUUAAUCGGAAUUACUGGGCGUAAAGCGCAUGCAGGCGGCCUGUUAAGUCAGAUGUGAAAGCCCGGGGCUUAACCUCGGAAUUGCAUUUGAAACUGGCAGG
rnacentral:rRNA from 1 species